rnacentral:misc_RNA from 1 species
GAUGAAGAACGCAGCGAAAUGCGAUAAGUAGUGUGAAUUGCAGAAUUCAGUGAAUCAUCGAAUCUUUGAACGCACAUUGCGCCCCUUGGUAUUCCAUGGGGCAUGCCUGUUCGAGCGUCAUUUGUACCUUCAAGCUUUGCUUGGUGUUGGGUGUUUGUCUCGCCUUUGCGUGUAGACUCGCCUUAAAAUAAUUGGCAGCCGGCGUAUUGAUUUCGGAGCGCAGUACAUCUCGCGCUUUGCACUCAUAACGACAGCGUCCAAAAGUACAUUUUACACUCUUGACCUCGGAUCAGGUAGGGAUAUCCGCUGAACUUAAGCAUAUCAAUAAGCGGAGGA